UACCAGCACCCCGAGUGGUCGGGACGAUUAUUGGGCCUAAAGCAUCCGUAGCCGGUCAUGCAAGUCCUCCGUUAAAUCCACCUGCUUAACAGAUGGGCUGCGGAGGAUACUACAAGGCUAGGAGGCGGAAGAGGCAAGCGGUACUCAGUGGGUAGGGGUAAAAUCCUCUGAUCCAUUGAAGACCACCAGUGGCGAAGGCGGCUUGCCAAUACGCGCUCGACGGUGAGGGAUGAAAGCUGGGGGGAGCAAAGCCGGA
rnacentral:rRNA from 1 species